UAGGAAAUAAAAAAGAAGAAAAUACAAAAGCAAAGUCUCUUGUCAUGUUUUUGUUCUUCCUGCUCGCUUUCUCCAUAAUUAUCCUCAUCCUUAUGAAAGAAGAAAGAAGA
rnacentral:ribozyme from 1 species